GGUGAGAACUCAGAUUGUUGGC
rnacentral:miRNA from 1 species